rnacentral:lncRNA from 1 species
AAUUUUAGUUAGACUCUGACGUUUUCAAAAGUACGAAAGUUUUUGUACUUAUAAGUUAUUUUUAAUAGUGUGAUAUUCAAUUUGAUGGUCAAUUUUGUUAGAUAUAAUCUACGUUAUUAGGACUAUUAGAAUUUAAUUUAAUAUUUUUUUAAUUUUAUUUAUCUAGUGAACGAAUAGUUUCAAAAUAAACUGCUAAAAAAAAGAAUCUCACAAAAAAUAAUAAUAAAUGACUCAAAUUUCAAACUAGAAGCAUUGAUCUUGCUUUCAAUGUUAAGUGAAAUUUUUCAUUAAAGUUUCAUAUAAUUUGAAUUGUUGUACAUCAUUAAACUUACAAAUUAACCUGCCACGUCGGCCAUUAAAAUAGUCAUUUUUGAGACUCUUUGAUCACUUUGGAUAUGAUGUCAAAAAAUUAUGAAAUUUGAUUUUUAAAUAGUUCUAAUAACGUAAAUCAUGUCUAACAGAGCUGAUCGUCAAAUCAGAUGUGUUUUUAUCGAAAAUAUUUUACAAGUACGGAGAUCUCAGUAUUUUCGAAAACGUAGGAAAUAUACUAUAAAAUUUUUCUCUUUUUGAGGGAGAGAAAUGUACACUAAAAAAAAAAUAAUUAAAAACACUUUUUUAUAUAUAUAACAAUGCUUAAAAAUAUGAAACAACCGUUGUACUCUAAAAGCUUAAGCUCAUGUCUGGGCUCGAGACUUUUUAGUCGGCCCAUUAUGUGAGCUUGAAUUAAAUGGGAGAAAAUUAAUAUGAGCGUGACUCGAACUUAGGACUUCCUGCUUUGAUAUCAUGUGAAACAACCGUUGUACUUUAAAAGCUUAAGCUAUUAAAAAACGGUGUUUAAAUAUUUUUAUAUUUAACAAAAAGUGUAUCAAUAUCGUUUACAUCAUAUUUGAAAGCGUUGGUUAAAGAGUUGGUAAAUAAAAAAUCGCCACAUAUAUAUCGACGCUUAUAUACAUACCAAGCUUCAAUAAAAUAUAUUCUGACAUUUUAAAUCUUGACGCUUUACAGCAUUCAAAAAUUAAAAAUAAUAAUAAAAUUUAUUAUUUAAUAAAUUUAUUUAUUAAAAUAAAGAAUUCAUAUGAUGAUAUUUUUUGAAGUGCCGGUAUUUAUUAUAUUGUAGAGACGCUUCCUGCAAGCGUCGUCGUUUAAAAAACAUUCUUAUAUUGAGAUUUUUUUAU